CAGGAAGAAGACUUAAGAGUUUCCGUUUCUCCCCUUUCCAGCCAAGGGCAUUUAGGUGAGCCAGAAAACCUCUCUAAGCCUCAGUGUCCUCACCUGGAAGAUGGGGAUAACCAUGCCUCCCUCGUGAGGUGGUGGAGGGUGAGGGCGCCAGUCAGCACAGGGCUGGCCUUGGGCCCCUCCUGCCAGCUGGGGCAGCUGGGGUGGGACAGGACGGGGCUGGACGGGGCUGGGAGUCCCAGAAGCAACUGCGUCAGUCAGCCUGGCAUCCUGCGCCGCCAGACCGGGCUGCGGAAGCUGGCACUAGGCCCCUCUCUUGACUCACAUGCCUUUUCCAGGUCUGGUCCACCAAAAACAGAACAGACACCCUCUGAACCCCUGUGCUCCUUCCAGAGAGGGAAGUUUCACCCUCCAUGGUCACGUCAGCAGGCCAAGAAGCUGGGUGCUCUCUGCCACCUCCUAAAUGGAUCCACAAUCUCCAAGAAACUCUAGGGAGUGAUUCACACUGAAAGAUGUCUGCACCACACUGUUUGGUAGACAUAGUUCAUAUGCUCCAUCUCCUGUGAUUCUCUGAUGGCUUCUUGUACAGCUGGAUGGGGGCGGGGCACUAAGAGUACAGGCGCAGCUUUAAUUGGACAGCUGAGGUUUGGAGUUUUUGGUUGUGUGACCUUGGACAAGUCACCUAACCUCUCUGGGCCUCCGUGUCGGCAUCUAUAAAAUAAGGCUACCUCAUGCAGUCAGAUGCAAAAAAAUCAGUCAGCCUGAGGAUACUUAGUACAUACAGAGCUCCCAGAUACUCAACUGUACCUACGAGGAAGGCAGAGGCUUAUGGGACCUGUCACAGUGCUGGGCACACAGCUCGACCGGACUUUACUUUUUAAAAGUGAUUCCAACACGGGAAUUCCCAGAAUUCCUAUCGGCAGCCUGGCAGGGAUGUACUUUUGGAAGCUCUUUAUGCCCAUCACCACUUCCAGGAGCUCCUGCCAGAGCUGGAGUGUAUGAGUGGGGGCGUGGGAGACCCCAGGCAGGGAAGGGAAUGCUGGGACGGUGGGAGACAGCCACUGCAGAGAACUCUGGACAGGAAGCCGGGAAGCUGACCUGGCUCUGCUACGCAAGGUGUGAGGGUCCCUUGCAGGACUUUGGGCACCAGGACACCAGAGAACCAUAGAGGGCAGACUGGCAGGGGGCAGCAGACAGUGAGACUCGGUGAUGUCAUGCUUUCCCAGAAUGACUCAGUGGUGCCCCAGGGCUGUGAAUGGGAGCUGUGUAGUGCGGCCUCGAGCCCUCCCUGUCCCCUCGCCCUUCAGGCUUGCACAGUAGCUCUCUUCCCCGUGGCACCUCCUGUCCUCCCUGCCUGAGGGACCCAUGGCUAUGGCAUUGGUGCUCUCCUCCUAGCUGUGACCCCCAUGCUGCCUGUCACGUCUCUCCAAUCUCCACAUUGAGGGAAGACCUAACUGCCAGAAAGACUUAAUUUCAUUACUGUCCCUGACUCCUCCUAGCCCAGUGAUCUUGGGUGGGUUAACUCACCUCUAUGAACCUCAGUCUCCUCCUCUGUAAAAUGGAAACAUUGCUAACAACCUUGUUGGGUAGUGGAGGGCUUAGUGAGAUGGUCUGUAAAAUACUUGGUACACGGCAGGUGCUUAGCAAAUGGAAAGUAUGACAUUCAAGGGCCUCUGUGAUCUGACCUCAAUUUAAUUUUCUAGCUGCAUUUAUUAAAAUAAUAAUAAUAAUAAUAACUCAUCUUCUUGAUGCUUACCAUGUGUGAGGCACCGCUGUAAAUACUGGCAUAGGGACACAUUU
ensembl:lncRNA